CAAUAGCGUAUAUUAAAGUUGUUGCAGUUAAAAAGCUCGUAGUUGGAUUUGUGGCUGUCACGGGCGGCCUAUCACUUAGUGUUAGUGCUUGCCUGUGUCGCCAUCCUUGGGUGGAGCCCGUGUGGCAUUAGGUUGUCGUGCGGGGGAUGCCCAUCGUUUACUGUGAGAAAAUUAGAGUGUUCAAAGCAGGCUUAUGCCGUUGAAUAUGUUAGCAUGGAAUAAUAAGAUAGGACCUCGGUACUAUUUUGUUGGUUUGUGCACCGAGGUAAUGAUUAAUAGGGACAGUUGGGGGUAUUCGUAUUUCAUUGUCAGAGGUGAAAUUCUUGGAUUUCUGAAAGACGAACUACUGCGAAAGCAUUUACCAAGGAUGUUUUCAUUAA
rnacentral:rRNA from 1 species